rnacentral:pre_miRNA from 1 species
GUAGUACUCCCUCCGUCCAGAAAUACUUGUCAUCAUAAUGAAUAAAAGGGGAUGUAUCUAGAUGUAUAUUAGUUCUAGAUACAUCUUUUUAUCCAUUUUGAUGACAAGUAUUUUCGGACGGAGGGAGUACUUG